UGCAGAGUAAAUAAAACCAGAGGGAGUAUCCUUCUCAUUUGAAUUGGUGGCCUUGCCUCCAAUGUGGAUAGCGUCCAUCUGGGGUUCCAGGUUGCAUAGUUUGGUCAACGAUAUAAGAACUUUUCUUCAUCUUCUUACAACUCUACGAAUGUAUCAUGUGGCUCCCGUUUUCAGUAGUGGCGGCAACAAAUUUUCUCCUUGCCAAGCUUGUGCUAAUGUCUGAACUUUCCUAACUCUAAUUAAUUACUAGGCAAGCAAUUAUUGGACCUCAAGGUGCAAAGUUUUGCACCAAACGGCAAUAUUACACGUUAGUUGAAAAUCCAAGGUACCAAUCCCUAGGACAACGCCCCUAGCCCCAGUAAAAAUAAUAAUAUACUAGAAUGGUUGGAUGCGCUUUGCUGCGUCAUUGGUGUUGUUGAGUUUCUUAAAAAUAUUCUAUUUCAAAAUAUAAUGUGUAUUACAUUCGUGAGAAGUCAAAAAAUUUAAGUUUGUCAAAAUUACAGAGAAAUAUAUCAAAAUCCAUACUAUCAAAUCGAUAUGUUUAGAUUCAUCAUGAAAUGGAUUUCCCAUAGUUUUUUGUUUAAUAUUGAGGAUGAUGACAUUUUUCCUCUGAACUUGGUCGAAGUUAAAAGAAAUUUGACUUCUCCAAAAACCUACUACCACUUAUACUUUGUAAUUGAUGGAAUAUUUAGUGCGGCGGGUCGGGGAGAUGAUAGAGUGUUUUUUUUUAAUUUAUAAUCUGGUGAUUUGGAGAGCUUUUUGUGGCGUGAUUCUGUGUUAUCUGCUCAACAAUCCAUAUUUAUGUGGGGAAAUUUCUACGUUGGUGGCUACAUGUACUAUAUUGGAGUUACAAUAUCACAUGUUGAUGCUUUUUUUUUCAAGGUGGUGGUAGGGUGCGCAGGAUUGAUAUGUUUUUAUAGACCGAUUGUUAAAGAUUGAUUCAAAAAAUCUAAGGCUGAUCAAAAUCGUAAACCAAAUCUAAGAUUGGAUACCUAAAUUGAAUAGAAGAGUUUCAGAAUUAGGGAACAUAGUGAACUAAAAGAAUUGAAUGGGAUAACUUGGAAAAUUGUUGACCCGGUGAAAACCGGGUGGCCCGAUUCUAAAUUGAGUACCCCAAUUAAUUGUGAUGUCUUGAAAAUUACAAAGCAUAAAUAAUUGAAUGAGAGAGCUUUAAGAAAUGGUUGACCCGGUCAAAAUCGGAUGAUCCAGUUCUAAUUAAAGACCUCAACUGAAUGUGUUUUUUUUAAACUAGGGAGCAUAGUGUUAUAAAGGAUAACAUAGAUUAAGAAUACACUUGUGCUCCAAUGGGUGUAGUGAGGUUGUCAGUCUCACUAGUUUUGUUAGUUGUAACAAGUUAUGAGUGUGUAAUGUGGGUGGAAGUGUUUUUUUUAUUAUCUGAUAUAACUACAUGGAAUAAAAAUGCAUUUAAAAGUGAAGUUGUGUGUCCAAAUGCAAACAGCGGCGACACAAAAUAUAGACAUAUCUAAAUGUAGCCUUAGUGAGGUAGAUCUUUCUAUGCUUUAUUUUCACUAAAAGCAUUUUACAAAUAGGGAUCUACUCUUUCUAAUGCACAGCACUCCCACUAUUUAUCUUUCAUCCAAUAUAGUUAACCAAUGGAUCGGAGAAAAAUAGGAAUCUACUCUGUCUAAUGCAUACCACUCCCACUAUUUAUCUAUCAUCUAAUCUAGUUAACUAAUGGACCGGAGAAAAAUAGGUAUGUACUUUGCUUAAUGCACACCGCUCCCACUAUUUAUCUUUCAUCUAAUCUAGUUAACAAAUGGACCGGAGAACAAUAUACAUAAGUCAUGAACAAAAAUUUGUAUACGCUGAUUAUAAAGUAAUAAUUCAUGACAUAUCAAAUUGAUUUACCACAAUUAUUACAUUAGUUGUAUCAGAUCAUGUUAGGUAGGAGAAAAGUAGUCCCGUCCAGAAUGCUCCCUUCUCAUCUACAAGUCCCCAG
rnacentral:lncRNA from 1 species